rnacentral:pre_miRNA from 1 species
UCUCUCAGGGUCUGAUCCAAAGCCCAUAGAAGUCCGUGAGAAUCUUUCCAUUGGUAUCAAUGGGCUUUGGGUCAGGCCCUAAGAGA